rnacentral:rRNA from 1 species
AAUCAACGCUGGCGGCGUGCCUAACACAUGCAAGUCGAACGCGAAAGUGGAGCAAUCCAUGAGUAGAGUGGCAAACGGGUGAGUAACGCGUGGGCGACCUGCCUUCGAGUGGGGGAUAACCUUCCGAAAGGAGGGCUAAUACCGCAUGACAUCCCGUGUUUGGAUACACGGACAUCAAAGCCGGGGAUCGCAAGACCUGGCGCUUGAAGAGGGGCCCGCGUCCGAUUAGCUAGUUGGUGAGGUAACGGCUCACCAAGGCUCCGAUCGUUAUCCGGCCUGAGAGGGCGGACGGACACACUGGAACUGAGACACGGUCCAGACUCCUACGGGAGGCAG